rnacentral:rRNA from 1 species
CCUACGGGAGGCAGCAGUGGGGAAUUUUGGACAAUGGGCGCAAGCCUGAUCCAGCAAUGCCGCGUGCAGGAAGAAGGCCUUCGGGUUGUAAACUGCUUUUGUCAGGGAAGAAAUCUUCUGGGUUAAUACCUCGGGAGGAUGACGGUACCUGAAGAAUAAGCACCGGCUAACUACGUGCCAGCAGCCGCGGUAA